rnacentral:rRNA from 1 species
GAGUUUGAUCAUGGCUCAGAUUGAACGCUGGCGGCAUGCCUUACACAUGCAAGUCGAACGGUAACAGGUCUUCGGACGCUGACGAGUGGCGAACGGGUGAGUAAUACAUCGGAACGUGCCCAGUCGUGGGGGGAUAACUACUCGAAAGAGUAGCUAAUACCGCAUACGAUCUGAGGAUGAAAGCGGGGGACCUUCGGGCCUCGCGCGAUUGGAGCGGCCGAUGGCAGAUUAGGUAGUUGGUGGGAUAAAAGCUUACCAAGCCGACGAUCUGUAGCUGGUCUGAGAGGACGACCAGCCACACUGGGACUGAGACACGGCCCAGACUCCUACGGGAGGCAGCAGUGGGGAAUUUUGGACAAUGGGCGAAAGCCUGAUCCAGCAAUGCCGCGUGCAGGAUGAAGGCC